rnacentral:rRNA from 1 species
UACGGAGGGUGCAAGCGUUGUCCGGAAUCACUGGGCGUAAAGGGCGCGUAGGUGGCGGGACAAGCGUGCGGUGAAAGCCUGGGGCUCAACCCCGGGUCGGCCGUGCGAACUGUUUUGCUUGAGCACUGUAGAGGCAGGCGGAAUUCCGGGUGUAGCGGUGGAAUGCGUAGAGAUCCGGAAGAACACCGGUGGCGAAGGCGGCCUGCUGGGCAGUAGCUGACACUGAGGCGCGACAGCGUGGGGAGCAAACAGG